AUUGAACGCUGGCGGCAGGCCUAACACAUGCAAGUCGAGCGGAUGAAGAGAGCUUGCUCUCUGAUUCAGCGGCGGACGGGUGAGUAAUGCCUAGGAAUCUGCCUGAUAGUGGGGGACAACGUCUCGAAAGGAACGCUAAUACCGCAUACGUCCUACGGGAGAAAGCAGGGGACCUUCGGGCCUUGCGCUAUCAGAUGAGCCUAGGUCGGAUUAGCUAGUAGGUGGGGUAAAGGCUCACCUAGGCGACGAUCCGUAACUGGUCUGAGAGGAUGAUCAGUCACACUGGAACUGAGACACGGUCCAGACUCCUACGGGGGGCAGCAGUGGGGAAUAUUGGACAAUGGGCGAAAGCCUGAUCCAGCCAUGCCGCGUGUGUGAAGAAGGUCUUCGGAUUGUAAAGCACUUUAAGUUGGGAGGAAGGGCAGUAAGCUAAUACCUUGCUGUUUUGACGUUACCAACAGAAUAAGCACCGGCUAACUUCGUGCCAGCCGCCGCCGUAACAC
rnacentral:rRNA from 1 species